AUGGUCAGACUAGAUGAUAAUAGAGUUCUUUUCCAACCUUAAUUACUCUGUGUUUCUGUAAUUCUAUGAUUUGGAGGAGCUGGACGCUGCUCCUGCACAAUGCUGUGAGUAUGCAGUGAGCUGUGCCAGGCUGGAAGCUGUGUGUAAGAUGGGAGUAUGGAUACAGUGACAGAAUCAGUGACAAAUGGUAUAAUUAUUGUUUGAUAUUGCAUGUACUUGCUGCUGAGUUGCAGCUAUGCAUUAGGUGUAUUUUCCAUCAUUAGUGUGCACUUAAUUGUCCUGCAUUGUAAGUCAAAACAGUUGAAGUCUCAUUUGCAAGCCUAAUGGGAACUAGUACAGAUCCUGGAGUAGUAUGACUGAGUAAGAGACUGUUUGUCACAGUGUUCUCAUUUUUACGUGGUCUCAGGAAACAUCUCUGACGUUUGAACAGAAGCUAGUCAUUCAGAAUUUAUGGUAAAUACUGCACAUUGAGAAAGUGGGAUUGUUCAUGUAAGAAGAAGAUGAGUUGAAUGGGAAUAAAAGCUGUAAGUGAUGUGAGAACUGCCAGUUUCUGUGGAGCUACACAUAUUGAGACCGGCAAUGGGAGGCUUGGAGAGCUGUGUGCAGGAAAGCAUGUAAGCACAACAAGAAUUACCUCUUAAGGCAGAAAAGUAAAAUCAAGUGCUUACACCUCCAGGCUGAAGCCUUAUGUGGGCUUCUUCAAGGUAUAUUAAAAUUGCUCUGCUUUUAAAAUAAAAUGAGUUGAAGUGCUUUGAGUGUAUUGCUUCUGAUAGACUUAUUGUUUUUUAAUGUGGUCACUUGUUAGCGUUAAUUUUGCAGGCAUGUAAGCCAGUGGAUCACACACCAAUGCUCCCUAUCUAAAGAUGGUGACUUCUCUUUCCUUCCUGUUCAGUAUCUGCCAUGUAGAGAAUCCCAUCCUUGUAAAGACCUGUUUUUUCUUCCCCUGGCUGCCCUGUCAGGGCUGUGUGGGAGGGAGAAGUGUAAGGUAGUUCUCCCAGCUGCUGUGACAUGGUUAUUCUACAGUGCGUUGCAGGGGCCAGGACCUGGGACUCUGUCCCCCCUUGUCUUUCCCUCGAGCACUUAACUUUGUGGCUGAUGAUUAAAACCCGAAACCAUCAGCCCUCACCCCACCCAUAAGUGAAUACACACUCUGCAGUUUGGGCAGACUUUGCUGAUGUUGUUUUUUAUAAGUUUCAUUUGUACUAGCACUUCACAUUACACCUGACUUUGUGGGCAUAAAUAAUCCUGUUCAUUAAGCUUAAUCUUGCUCACAAGAUGUUUGCAGAACUGGAGUGUAUUUAAAGCAUGCAUUGCCAGCGAGUUCCCUCCUGGCUCCACUCAGGCUUUAUUUUAAGAUGUUCCCGCUUUCUAAGAUAAGCAUGAAUCAAAUGAGACAGCUCCACAUGCUAAGGGAGCAGCGGUCACGUACUUCUGCUUAAGCACGUGCCACAGCUGGCCACACCAUUUAAUUAUCACUAAACCCAGAAAAAAAACUCUUCUUUUUCUGCUUGUGUGUGUGUAAGCAGGUAGGAAAUCUCUUUAGCAUGAUGCCAAGGAUACUGCUAUUUUAUGGUAACUAGCAGGAAAUAACAAGAGUUACAACAGAAUGAAGGUCAGUCUCCUUGAGUUCUGCUUGGGAAAACCCUGGAAGUUGACCAUGACAUUUAACUCUGCACAUCCCAAGGAUAAUGAGAUAUUUUGCUUUUGUUGUUUUUUGUUUUGUUUUUUUUUGUACUGACUUUUACCUUUCUUCAGUGCAUCCUUUUAAAUAUGGGCUACUUGGAAUUUGUGUUGAAAGCAUGUUUUGGUUUGCAGAUAUCUCUAACAGGAAAAUCUAAAAGGGACGGUUCUUUCCACGUGUCUUUAUCUCUGUGAUUUUGCAGUUUGCUCUUUUCUCUUGAUUUUUCUGCCUGUCCUGUGCAAGUUGAUCCCUCUUUGUAAAAUAGCAAGAGUUGCAGUGCUAAAUUGAGAUCAAGAAUGCCUUGGUAAACUAAUUCUGUCUUGGAGGACAGAGUAGAUCUGCUUGUAUCUUUCUCCUUCCUGUGCCUGGAACACUAUUUAGGAGAAGCUGUUUCACAAACAACAUGAGACAGGGAAAUGUAUACUUCCCAAAUAGCAUUAACUGCUCGUAAUUCCAAGCUUGAAAUUAUGAUACCAUACAGAGUGUAUUAAAAGACAUUGAUUUUUAGUUUUAAUGAAUUGGAAAGAGCAUUGAUUGAUUACCUCACAGUGUUUUAUCCCACUCAGAAUCCAUGAUUUUCAAAAGGCAUCCCUGGACUUGUUGACACCAUAUUCUCUUGCUUAAGCCUGUUAAAAACUCUGGCGCGGAUGAAAUACAUUUCCAGUCCUUGCUGUGGGUUGUAAAAGGGUUUGAAAUAAGGUCAGUCAUUCUGGGCUGGUAACUCAGUGUCUAACUUCUUUGUUUUUGCCAUUUUUUCCUCUGGAGAACCUCAAUUUGCAUGUAUAAGAAAAACGUCUGGAUCUUUGAGAUGAUAAUAUAAACAACAAAAAUGAAAAUUCUAGUUCUUGACUGUGUCAGUGAAGAGCCUGAAAGAUUAGUCAUGAAGAGGAGGAUCUGUGUACAUUUUGUCUUGUUCAUCUUAACUUAAGGGCUGCUGCUGGAGUCUAAAUGAGGAUGCAGGGUGUCUCAGGAUUAGCACCAUGGUCUGCUGCUAGGACCAGCACCUGGUCCUUACUCUCCAAUGAUUAAGUGCUGGGGAAGGCCUCCCAGCUCUGCCUGACCCACAGGGUGAGAGAGCAAGUGCUGAUGUUCAGCCCAGCCCAAUUGCUGGGACUCAGUUCUCCUGCUGCAGUCAUUUUGUCCUCCUCCCAUUCUUUGAAGAAGCUGGGACUAGGUCUGUUCUAAGAAGAUAUUUCUUCUUUGCCUGUUAGAUGUGUAUAUUCUGAGGAGCAGCAAAGUUGUCACUUGUGUAUAUUGAGAUAUGAUAGAGUGUCUAUCCCUUACAGUAGUACAUCAGUCUUGUCUAGGUUGGCACUGUUCUUUUUGCCGUAAGCGGGGCAGUGGGGCUUCUUCUGGGAAGACUUGAGUGCAGUUCAGCUGGUGUCUCUCGAGACAGCACAUGGAGCUGUUUUAGUGCUAAAUGUCAAGUCUGUGUGCUGAGAGGUGUUGUGGCUGACCUGCCUGACCCAUCCUAUCACAAGCAUUGUGUGUGAUGUGGCUCACACUGUUCAUUGCAUGGCUGGCACUGUGCAUUGUCUCUUUAGUGAUGCCAGCAGUUGGGGAAGGCUGCAUGCUGAUGCUUUGGGAGCAUUAAUGACACCUGAAUAGCCAGGUUAUUCACGGAUUAAUAUUCACGGAGCUUCAUUCUGUCCCAUCCUACAGUGCUCUCAAACAACCAUCUGAAGAACUGUGGGGGAAACUUGUUUGCAGCAAAUGCAGCAUAGCAGCUAGUAGACUGCAGAUGGUAUUGUCACCAGCAUGGUCAGCCACGUGCUUUGGGCUUAAAAGUCACAAGCAUGAUACAGGUAAGCUAGAGGCUUGUGUGUAAGCACACAGAGGAUACAGCAAUGCCCAUGAUGCCCCUGAGCAGUGUACCCAAUACCUAGAGCAAAGGUAGUACCCAACAUCUCCUCCUACUGCUGUGACACAGCAUAGAUAGCGAAGUCAGUAUAGAUGUGCUUUGUUUUUCUGCAGUACAUGUAAGAGAAUAGCACUUAGGAAAAAGAGUAGUGGUAUCUAAUGUGGCAUACCAUAUACAGUAGCAAGCAAAUAGAAUGCGUGGUGGAGCAGUAUUCUUUGCUCCUCCACUCAGUCUCGUUUCCUGGUUCCUGUUGCUAUGAAUGGUGCUGAGGGACUGCUGAGGAAUGAGCAAGGAUGUCCUAUGCAAGUGCAUGGUGGACAUGUUUUAGAGAGAAUUGCAACAGUGUAAGUCCCACAUGCAUUUUUGGUUCAUUAACUGUCACAGCAACUGUGUUGGCUUAGUUUAGCCAGAAUGUUAUUUCAAUCACUGCGGCUGUAUGUGAUCUACAGCACUUGUUUGGCCUGUCCAGUCCUAUCCUACAGAAAUAAAUAACUUUAGAACUAAUAGAGCUUUUUUAAAGAUUAAAACAUACUGUAAGGCUCAUCAAUAAGCAAGUGAUUUAUAAAUCACUAAAAUUGUGUUUUGCCAGUGCUUUGACAGAUUGACACCCAAGGAGGACAUCAAGUAUCUAAGCAUUAUAUUAUCCUGGAAUAAUAAAUGGUUGAAGGACCAGUGCAGUACACAUUAAAAAUAUAGCUAAGUUAGUCUAUAGUUUUGUCUUCCAAGAGGUGACUUUGUGUUCAGGGUCAGGUGGAAUCACCUCCAGAGCCAUCUCUGCACCUUUGUUGUGCUGAGGCUGUCUGCAGUCAGAGGGCGAUGAUGCUGAACAAAGGAUUGGAAACAGACAGUAGGCAAAGAAAAGAGAGUGACAUACUGGAAAGUAUUAGGUUAAAGAGUUUCUAAAAACAUAACUGAAAUCAGACCGAGGAAACAAAAGAGAAACUCUUAGAUGGAAGAACAGAUUUGUUUUUUUAGUGUUCAAACAGAACUUAGUUUUCAGUGAGUUUUAGCUUUCAGCUCAGUUUUCUGUGCCAAGAGGUCUCAGGAGACCUUUUUAAUGUUACAAACUGCAUGGGCAGUGCAGGAUGCUUUCUGGCCUUCCGUAUUUUCUCUCUCUGUGGGAGUCGUGGCUCACCUGUGUUGUUGAGUGAAGAGAAUGCAUUGAACCCCUUCCAAGAUUACUAACAUUUCUAAGCAAUUAAAUCAAGGAGCUGAGAAGAACCAGUAUAAGCUCUUUUCUGCUUCAGCUGCUCUUAGAAAUAUCAGCAAUCACCCAUACUAAUUAAACAGGUGACUUAAUACCUCUCACAGUGAAGCGGCAGCAGGUGAUUUGCCCAUUGAAACACUACCUCUUUGUAUGCCCAGUGCUCAUCCGGGAAAAGCUCAGGGUUGCAGGCCAGCAUGAAUCCAAGUGCACUUGAAUAAAACCGCUCCUCCCCAUGGUUCUUUCAGAAUGCUUUCCAUGGAGGAAAAAUUUUACAGCUAGUACACGAUGUAUCCAGAGUGAAUGCAUCACUUGCUUCUUGCAGACCUGGCAGUCAGGACGGGCCUUCUCAUUCUGGCGGUGCCAAGCGCUGACAAGAGAUCGCUGUUCUCCCGCGGCCUUCAGGGCCGGUGCUGAUGGAGUUUGGAAAAACAGUGUCAGGUGAGGAUUUCCAGUCGCUGGGGACUGUCCUCUCCCAAGUGAAGGACAGUGCAACUAAGAAUUUCACGACGCAAACCUGUAGUGCUGAUACACAGAGCCAGUGAAACUGAUACAUUUCUGCAGAAUGUUUUGGUUUCAGCAGCUGAGUACGUUCAGGCAAAAAUAAGUUUUACUGGAAAUACUCUGUCUGGUUCAGAACUCAUUUGUUUUUACGAACCUGUCACUGUUCACAACACAAGUAAAUAAGCAGGCAAAGCUAGCCUGCCACUACUAUAAAAUCUGGAGAUCCUAAUGUUCUGUGGCUCUAAAGAAUGCUCUCUGCUUUUGCCUCUAUCAGCUCAGUUGGGACUGGGAAGGUGGUGAAACGCUUUCUACUGCUAUAGUGGCUCUCCUGUUUUGGAAGCUCUUCGCUUUGGACUUGAACUUUUGUUUAGAACAAAAGAUUGCAGAGGAAUUUUCAGUGUUUUUGAGGUUGCAGAUGGAUCUUAAUGAUAUUCUUAUCACUGUUUGUGCCCAGCCAGGCUUCUGGACCUUAUUACUUCUCGCGCAACAGCUGCCAGUGACAAGAAUAAUUUUCAUGCUUGGAAAUCAUCUUUACUUGACAUAUUUACAUGCUGUUCUUCACUCUGAAGUAUCCCUAGUGUGAGUGAUAGAUAGAAUCAUCUCCCUUUUUAAUGCAUGAGUUACUCUACAGAUUUUUCUGCUGAGUCUGCUACGAUCUGUGGAGCUUUUUUAUUAAUAAAAUUGUAGCCUGGUUUUAAUGUAUUGCUUUUUUUGUUUUUUUUUUUUACAAUAAUGAAGAGACACUGCCCUGACCAAACCAGAGACACAGACAGGAAGAAAAGAAGGAUAAGCAAGCGAAUAAAUUGAUUUCCACUCUUUGUCUUAUUCUACAGUAAAAGAGAAGACUAACUUAUUUUUCUUCUGUAAGUUGAGCUUAGAACUUCUGUGAUUUGUCAACAUUAAAGCCUAAGUCACAGAACACUGAGGUCUCUGCAAGCCUCAGCACCCAUACAGACAAAUUUUUACAUAACAUCAUUUAUUACCACUUAAAAUCAAUUUUAUUAAAAAUUUAAGGAAUUUUAAAAUAGGACAUUAGAGAAAUGACUAUCAACUUCCUAAAAUAAAAUGGAGUGUAAAAAUGAAGUUAUUUCAAAUAUUUUGUGCUCAUCAGUAAAACAGUUCACAAAAGAUUUGAGGACAGUGCAGAGUGCAUUUUUUUAUCUGUAAAAAUAUAAGCAGGAUAUAUUACUUAAACUUUUUUUCUUGUCAAAUUCAGUAAUUCUUUGGGCUGUAUAAGUUUCUGAAUUGCCUUUACAGUAAGUCAUUUGCACUAAUUAUUCCUCUAAUCUACUUUGAUUUUUAAAAUUAUAGUUUGAUAAUGGGUUUUUCUAAAUUCCAAGCUAUGAGCAAAAAAAUGUGGAUUUAUUUAGGUGCUAAGGUUGCUGUCAUACUUCCAGUCAUGUAUUUGGGUUUCAGAAUCUGAAAUUGCAAUAGUCAUUUUCAAAUUGUUUAUUUUGACAGGGAUCUUCAAAAUUUGAAUUCCUGGAGUUUACAGGAUAGCAUAAUCAAUAUCAUAGUUAAGAAAUGUCAACUGGGCUUUCAGUUUGUCCCAGCAGAGAAUGACUCUUGAAUCAUAGUGAUUCCCCCUGUGUUUUGUUGUUUUUUUAAACACUGUAGUGAAAUUGGAGACUGUAAUGUCAUGAUGCAAUCACUAAAGUACAUUUCAAAACUAUCUAAGCACUGGAUAGUGGGUACUUUUGGAUAACUUUAAAGUUGUUCCACCUACAGACUUACAUCCCGCAUGAAAUCUUGCAGAUUAUGUUCAUACAGAUUUUAUAAAUCACUGAAAUGAUCUUUCGAUAACUUGAGGUGCAGAUGUCAAGGAUUUGGGUUUUUGUUAACUCACUGGACCAUACUGAAUAAAUGUUUUAGAUGUCAAAGUUGGAGUUGAAGAGGUCAUGCUACUGAGUGAAGAAAUAACAGCAAGUGACCCAUUGGUGAACUUUUAAGGAAAGGUCAGAGAUGGCACGAUUUUUUCUAGUUUAUUGUUACAAGAUUUUUUAUAUCAGGGUAACUUUUAAUUGAAGAAAUAGUGUGUUCUUAUACUUAGUAUUUAUCUGUGGUGCACCAAAUUUCAUGUAGCUAAUUUAGUAAUGAUAUGAGAGUUGAUAGUCACUUAUUUUUAACUGUUUUGUUCGUUCAGUGGAGAUAGUGGCUAUGAAAUUGUCCUCUACCAGCCUCUGCGGGCUCUUCAGCAUUGGCCUUGUUAUUCUGAUUUCCUACUUCUUCUUACAGUCUCCAACACUGAAAAAAUAAGCUUGCAUAGAAAAGAGCCAGUUGCCUUGCAUUUAUUUAAGUUUCAGUCUUGCCAGAGAAAAGACUAGGACUAUGUUACUGUACAGGAUGAAGCCAGAAGGCUAGAAUUUUAAAUAAGCAUACAUUAUGCAUUUAAUGCCACAUUUUUAUUUUUAUUUUUGGACUACUUGAGUCACAUGCAAGAAGUGGCACAGGACCCCAAGGGGCUUUGUGUAUACUGUACAGUUAGUAAGAAGGCAUCCAGGCCUCUAAAAGAAGAAAUCUAAUUAUAACUGUGCUGCAUGCUGUCAUUCUGGGAAAACAAGAGCUUCAACUCAUCUUUAGCUGACAGUGGGGACCAACUCUUUCCUAUACCUGAGUGAUAGGUGAUUAUGCUGACUAUGAAUGGUGAUUCACUGAAUUGAAUUUGAAUCUGUAUCUGCAUUUAUUCAGCGGCAGUCUGAGUCAUCCCUUGCUGAUUUUUGGAAUUGUCAUACGGUGUCAUAACCAAAGGGAAAAGGAAGGAAACAGGAAUUGACUUUUUGAGGUAGGCUCCCCAAAGAGAACACAGACAAGGAAAUCUCCCUAUCAAUCUGCUCAUCUGUCAGUGGCUGCCCUGCCUAAAAGUUUUACUGCACGUUCUUCAGAUACCUGAAGAACAGCAGCCUCCCCUUUUCAUCUGCAUGAGGAAAUGGAGAGAUGGCUUCAUGGCAUCAAGAGAAGAGCCUUACAGCAACUGAUGAACUAAUGCAUCUCUCUGGCAUGUGGCAUGAUGCUGAGGUUUCCUAUGCCUGAUCUGUAAACAUGUCCACAGACCUGCUAUCUGAAAAGGAGCACAUGGUGCUGAAUGGGUCCUCUUGUGAAAACAAAACAGAGCAGAGCUAGACUUAGUUGAACACAGGGGCAUUUGGAAAACUCUGCCGAAGGAAGAUGGCAUGUUUCCUGCCACCUUGCACUAGAACAGUGUGACUUCUUAAUAGAAGUGCAAUUUAAAAUAAGGUAAGGUUUGUUUUGAAUUCCUACACAUAGCACGGUUAUGAAAUCUUUGCAUUUGUAUUCUUGAGUGCAAAAACAAUGUUUGCAUUGUAUUGUGCCAUGGGAAACACCUUAGUCUCGUGCUGUUUUUAGCUUCUGUGUACGUUCCCUCAUUCUUUGAUUAACGAUGAUUAAUGAAUAUGAAUAGUAUUAGGAAAUAACUUGGCAUCUGAAUCUUGCUGUCAGGCUCUUAACAUCAGUCUUUAUGUAGGCUAUUAUAUACCCCUCUUUACAUCUUUAAGGAUCAGAUGAAAUGCAGUAGAUGAUUUCUUGACCAGUACAGAUUACUGUGUUGGCACUUUCGCACGUGGUAGCUGGGUAACCGGAGUCUCUAUCUGGCAGAAAAUCUGGGAGCCUCAAAUCUCUUGAAACCUGUUUAUUCCCAAACCUCUGUUUCUGUGAAUAAACUCAAACACAAGAAAUGGAUCUAUCUUUAUGCUUGCUGAUUUUAGAGGUAGAGUUGUUUUUUCUAUGAUAGCAAAGAAUAGCAAGAGGAGGACGAUAACAAGGAAGUGGUAUUUUCUUCAUGAAAGUACAGAAGUUUAUCGGCCCAAAGGAAUUCGGUGUGUAAUUCAUAUGUAAAUUUCCUACUGAAAACAGCGGAACAGAUCACCAGAGUUUGUAUAUUAGUUUCUGCAGUGACUGGAAAGUUUCUGAGCUCAUGUAGCUACAGUUUUCAGCUGAGGGCAAGUUCUGAAUGCAGGAAAAUAGUUAAGUAAUGUCAUCUCGUCGUUUGUCUGCUCAAGUGUAAGGGCAAGCUCUGGGUGCAAUAGUAGCUGUUGUGCUGUCUUGUUCUCGCAGAGAAGUGGGAAUUGCUUUUUGUGUGUGUGUGUCGCAAACCUGAUCUGAAGUAUUUCUGUUUGUGCAAUUGUCUGAAAACUUUUGAGUAAUCCCAUAAUUUCAGUAGAAGUGCUUGGGAGGUUUUGUAUUUAUUGGAGUAGUUUGUGUUCCUCAGUUUGGCAUUUUUUCUUUGAGUGCCUUUGAACUAGCAAUCUUCCAUGUUUUGUCUCAUUUUGCUCUUCUGUGCUGCAGAUAACUUAUCUGUUUUUCUUGGAAGCAUUGAGGUUCCAUGUACAAACAAACUUUAUUUAGAAUAAAUACUUUGUGAUCCCAAAGAUAAAAAGCAUGUAGCCUAACUGUAGAUAAUCAGUAUUUUUUGCUUGUGGGUUCUGCCUUUAAAUUUCCAGGUUUUUCCAAGGGAAAAGGAAAACAAAAAAUAUAUUUAUGAUUUUGAAAAGGGUAGAAAAAACAUUGAUUUCACGCAGGCUGAUGUUUAUUUUUGUGAGCUGUAUUGUUGUUGUACAAAUGUAGCAGGAGGGAUUUUUUUACAUUUAAGUGUAUUUAUAGAUGAUAGGCAUUGGGAGGCACUCAGAUUUAGAGAUAAGGUUUAUUUAAAGACAGCAUUUCAGUUGGAAAAGAGACGUUUUGUAGGUUGCUUUAUUAACAUAACCGAGAUGUGUUAUGAAAAUACUGGCCAGUGAGGGUUUUGAUUUCUGGGUAACUGUAAUGUUGUAAAUAAAAACCAGUUAUAGCUUGGAAAGCUCAGCUGAUCACAGCUUUUUUUGUGAGUAUAAAGGAAGGGAGGUAGAUGAUUCAUGUGUGACACAGAAGGUAGUAUUUGUGUUGGAUGAUAAGGGAACAGAGAAUAUUAUAUUUAACAUACUGGACUGGAAAGGAUGUUCUGGCAAGGCAGCUGUCCCUUUACCACAUCUAAAACUGGGGAUAUAUAUGAAAAUCAAAUAUUGCUGUGAUCUGUUAGCAACGUUGAAGCACAAAGUGUAUUAAAUAAUUGAAUUCCAACCAAUAGAAGAAAGUAUACUAAAUACAUUGUGGAGUAUGUGACCAUAUACAGCCCCAAGUAAAUAUGGAUAUUAAAUAUUAUGGUUGUACAAAUACAAACCCGAGGAAUGGAGCAUUUCCCUUAAGACCUUUAACACCUGUUGCUCUUGCUAUUUCAGCUAGGGAAGUACAAAACCGAAUUGCUUGCAAUUUUGCCUUCUAAGGUUGCUUCUUAGAUUCUAGUAUUAGAAUUUGGUAGAAUUAGAUUCUAGCAGGCUAUUGCUUUUAUUUUUGUGACUUCUGGAAGUAGUUUAAAGAAACUAGGAAUCCCUCAGGAACAACUGUAGAUAGAGUCCUUGUGUUUUAUUUAAUCUUAAACUAAGGCGUCUGUCAACAGGAAGAUAAAUAGGGCUUUUUGGAUAUGCAUUGUAAUCUGAGUUUAGAGUGCUUCCUCUACAGAAAAAAAAUCUGUAGUCUCUUUUAAGCCCACAAAUUUUUGCAACACUCACAUGUAGUUCUGUGAUAAUAUUCUGGUCAUGUGCUGUGUAAUUCUGUAUUUCAAAGCAGUAGACUCAAGGCUGUCAUUAUGCCUAAGGAGAAUAGCUGUUGUAACAGAAAUGUACUAUGCUGCUUCUCAAUGUAUUGAUGCUACUUUUUUUAAUCCAUGCUUUAUCAGCAUGUUAAAGAAGCACGGGUGGAUAUAUUUUCUUUAAUACAGUAUCAGUCAAGACAUUAGAAAUUAUCCCUUGGUUCCCAUUGAAUGUCUUUAAGGUAGAAAAAAAUAAGUAUCUGUUAGAUCUCAGGAAGAAGAUAAGUAAUGCAGCUAGGACACUUGCACAUGUGAAUAUUCUUUUCACAGAAAUACAAUUUUGUGUCUGUUGAAAAGAGCUUCCCAAUGCCUGCUCUUAAAGAAAUCACACCAUGCCUUAAAAGAGGAAAAUUAUUUAAUGGGAUCAUAAAAGCCAGGGAUGAGAGUCUUCAACCCAUUUUAUUCCCAGAGAAGCUGGGGUCGAAGCAUCCUGUGCGUUCUGGAAAUCUGUAAGUAUGGUACUUCAUGCUGUAACAGAAAUUGUUCUGUGUGUCCUCUCUUCAGAGUAAUAGUUCAAGCAGUUCUGCUAAGCAUGUUAAGGACCCUCUACUUAGAAGAAUAAUGCUUCUAAAAGAAGAUGCCUGUAUUCCUUUGUUGUAAAUAUACAUGGGUUUUGGGAUUCAUGAGCUCAAAACAAAAUUAAUGUUUUUGUUCUUUUCCGUGAAUUGAAAUGCCCAUAGGAGGUUUGAAAUGAGAAAGUAAACUGAUUUCUCAGUUUUAUUCACACUUAGUUUCCCUGAAGUGUAGUGCAGAUUGUGAGUAUUCUUUCAGGUUUGGCCCUCCAAGGUCACAACGGAACAGUUAAUCCUAAGUAUCCGUAUAUUCACUUCUCUGCAUCAACUUCCUUCAUUCCUAAUGUGACUGGCUACUCACACAUUAGAAGAGCUGAGCAUAUGGAUUCUUUUCUAUAGGGCAGAGUCCAUGCAUUUAUUCCCAGCAGUAGUGGUUUGUUUCAUUUACUUAAAUUGCCCUUAAGACUCGUGCAUCUACAGCUGCAGGAUGAGUACAGCUUCUCUCUCAUGCCAGUCCUCUUUGUGUCCUGCAGUAAGCUCUUAUUUCCUUCUCCAAAGCAUGUCUACCUGCAGAAAGCAGCUGGAGGUGCGUUCCAAUUUCUGGCAUCUUUGCUGGGAAAGUUCCUGGAAGUUCAAACUGAAGGUUGUGUGACAAAAGUGAGAGCAAGAAUGAGUUUAGGAUGGUUUCCUAAGAAGAGCCGCUUUUGUGACCAUCUGUGAAUCUCCUCUGAGUGAUAUCUGACCUUGGUGGCCAGUAGCAACCAAGUUCAAUGAAAUGACAGCGUGUUUCUGCGCUAAGGAGAGACCUACUCCAAGGUUCCCUUUUAAGGGAGUCUUGCAAGUGUUGGAAAUAUUUCAACUGAUUAAGAUGAAGCAUUAGUCAUUAGAAUCUCUAUACUUCAUUUAUCAGAACCGAAACCUCGGUGUUGAUCAGCCAUGAGUAAAACUGUCAGCCAGUGUUAACGCACUUGAUAUGGAUGUGUGUGUUUAUAUGCACAUGCAUUCAGGUAGAUGUGUCUUUCUACAGAUGUGCAUUGAGGAAAACAUGCAUAAGUUACAACUGUAGCAUUAGCUGCUAAAAGAUCUGAUACUAAAAUGAAUCAACCGGUCCGCCAAAAUCUCCACCAAAAAGAUGUGCUUGAGUCCAAUUAGAGCUGUUUCUGCUGUGGUCAGUUAAACAUCUGCUGCAGGGGGGCACAGAAUAUGGGCCCAGAAUGUGGCCCAAGAGCCAUAGGGUGCUCACAAGCAGUUUUGCUUUGGCUCCCCUGGUGGUUGCCUGUGUCUGUGUGGAUGGUGGGUUUUCUUUCUGCUGUCUGCAGUAGUGAAGCAGUUUGAGCAGUGCUAGCAAGGACUGACCUGCAUCAGCGUGGCAUGGCUGUGGCUGGCUGGUAGCAGUAGAUGGGCAGCAGGAGCUUUGGCUCCCCGGGAGCCUUUGCUGGGCAUUUCAAACGAUCAGGCUGUGCUGCCUGGGGCUGUUCCUUGU